rnacentral:rRNA from 1 species
UACGGGGGGGGGCAAGCGUUGUUCGGAAUUACUGGGCGUAAAGGCGCGUAGGCGGCCUGCUAAGUCGAACGUGAAAUCCCUGGGCUCAACCCAGGAACUGCGUCCGAUACUGGUUGGCUUGAAUCCGGGAGAGGGACGUGGAAUUCCAGGUGUAGCGGUGAAAUGCGUAGAUAUCUGGAGGAACACCGGUGGCGAAGGCGACGUCCUGGACCGGCAUUGACGCUGAGGCGCGAAAGCCAGGGGAGCAAAGCGGG